UUUUUUUUUGGUGACUCAUAAUAACUUUACGGAUCACAAUUUAUUUUGUGACAUAUCAUUCAAGUUUCUGACCUAUCAGCUUUAGACGGUAGGGUAUUGGCCUACCGUGGCUAUGACGGGUAACGGGGAAUUAGGGUUCGAUUCCGGAGAGGGAGCCUGAGAAACGGCUACCACAUCUAAGGAAGGCAGCAGGCGCGCAAAUUACCCAAUCCUAAUACAGGGAGGUAGUGACAAGAAAUAACAAUACAGGACUUUACGGUUUUGUAAUUGGAAUGAGUUAAGUAUAAACCCCUUUACAAGUAUCAAUUGGAGGGCAAGUCUGGUGCCAGCAGCCGCGGUAAUUCCAGCUCCAAUAGCGUAUAUUAAAGUUGUUGCAGUUAAAAAGCUCGUAGUUGGAUUUCUGUUAAUACCUUAUAUAUAAUAUUUUUUUUUAAAUAUUAAUAUGUAAGAUUAACAUAAUUCAUAUUUUUAAGACUGAAUUUUUAGUUUUGAUAAUAUGAAAUUUUACUUUGAGAAAAUUAGAGUGCUUAAAGCAGGCUUUUGCCUUGAAUACUCCAGCAUGGAAUAAUAAUAAAAGAUUUUUAUCUUUUUUUUAUUGGUUCUAAGAUAAAAAUAAUGAUUAAUAGGGACAGUUGGGGGCAUUUGUAUUUAACAGUCAGAGGUGAUAUUCUUAGAUUUGUUAAAGACAAACUAAUGCGAAAGCAUUUGCCAAGGAUGUUUUCAUUAAUCAAGAACGAAAGUUAGGGGAUCGAAGACGAUCAGAUACCGUCGUAGUCUUAACCAUAAACUAUGCCAAC
rnacentral:rRNA from 1 species